UCCGGCUUAACGCCGGCAGUCCCCAUAGAGUGCCCAACUAAAUGAUGGCAACUAGGGGCGAGGGUUGCGCUCGUUGCGGGACUUAACCCAACAUCUCACGACACGAGCUGACGACAGCCAUGCAGCACCUGUGUUCAGGUUCUCUUUCGAGCACUAAGCCAUCUCUGGCAACUUCCUGACAUGUCAAGGGUAGGUAAGGUUUUUCGCGUUGCAUCGAAUUAAUCCACAUCAUCCACCGCUUGUGCGGGUCCCCGUCAAUUCCUUUGAGUUUUAAUCUUGCGACCGUACUCCCCAGGCGGUCGACUUCACGCGUUAGCUUCGUUACUGAGAGUGUCAAACCCCCAACAACCAGUCGACAUCGUUUAGGGCGUGGACUAC
rnacentral:misc_RNA from 1 species